CUUGCUAAAGGCAAACUCGUUGCGAAACGAGGGCGCAAAACUAUGGGUCUCUCUUUUAAAAGAUUGAGACUGCCAGGUUGCCAAGG
rfam:Selenihalanaerobacter shriftii strain ATCC BAA-73 genome assembly, contig: EI55DRAFT_scaffold00015.15